CCGAGUUUACAACUCCCAAACCCAAUGUGAACAGUACCAACUUGUUGCCUCGGCGGGAUCUAGCCCGGCUCCGGUAGAAGCCCGGACCAGGGCCCGCCAGGAGGACCAAACUCUAUAUACCCCUCGGGUUUUCUAUAAUGUAGCCUUCUCGGAGCCUAGUAGGCCGUAGAAAUGAAUCA
rnacentral:misc_RNA from 1 species